GGUUGCGAUCAUACCAGCACUAAUGCACCGGAUCCCAUCAGCACUCCGUAGUUAAGCGUGCAUGGGUGAGAGUAGUACUAGGAUGGGUGACCCCCUGGGAAGUCCUCGUGUUGCAACUCCCUUUUUUUAGUUUUUUGGUUUAUUUUAUUUACUAGUCACUGUAUCUUUGGCGUAGCAUGCGAGCGGCCGAUUUUUUGAAAGGAAGGCUUUGAUGAAGGUGCGCACGCGCACGGCGGACUCGAGGCGCGUGACGUAGGCCACACAUGAGGGCAUAGGUGCGCAUGGGAUCAAGGCGUGGUAGGUAUUCUUUCGGUUGCGAUCAUACCAACACUAAUGCAUUGGAUCCCAUCAGAACUCCGCAGUUAAGCGUACUUGGGCGAGAGUAGUACUAGGAUGGGUGACCCCCUGGGAAGUCCUCGUGUUGCAACCCC
rnacentral:lncRNA from 1 species